rnacentral:misc_RNA from 1 species
UUUAAUAAUAGAUAAUUAAUAUAAAAUGUCUGAAGAAGAAGAAGAACAGGUUGUGGAUAAUUAUAAUGGUUUAACACCUCCUGCUAUGCCACCAACUAUUUCACAGCCUUUGCAUCCAACAGUGCACCAAUCUAUUCCUUCUGCUUUCCCUAACUUUGCUCAGAGCUUUCAGUCUCCAUUACACCCACCUUUUGCACCUAUGCCAUCUCAAAGUAACACUACUUUACCAAAACCACCAAUAUUUGAUAAAGAUGGCCAGAUAUGGUUAGAGGCAUGUUCUGCAGAGGGAAAGGUUUACUAUUUUAAUGCAAAAACAAGAGAAACACGGUGGACAAAGCCAGAAGAUUUUUGCUUAAAAUCAAAUGAGGAAGAAAAGUGUGAAGAAAUAGAUAAAACAGAAACGGAAGUUAAAAAUGAUGGUGACAAUACAACUGCUGAUCCUGCAGAAACACAAACUUCUUUACAAUCGCAACCUCCGAUUCAAUUUUCACCACAACUUUUGCCAGGAAUGCCUCCAUUUGUUCUGCCAAUGAUGCGGCCACCACCUGGCAUGAUGUUACCUGGAUUUUCUACUGGAUUUCAAUCUCGACUUCCACUUACUAUGCCGCCACGAUUUCCUCCACUUCCUGCUGGUUUUCGUUUACCUCUUGAGUUUGUUCCAAAAACUAUUGGUGAUUGGACAGAGCAUAGGUUACCUGAUGGUCGGUUGUACUAUUUUAAUAAUAAAACUCGAGAAUCAAAAUGGGAUAAACCAGUUGAGUUUUCAGAAAAAGUUACUGAGAACAAAGAUACCUCAACAAAAACUGAAAGUAUCGUAAAAGAAGAAACUCCUAAAUCAGAUGAAAACAGUAAGAAAAAACCGAUUGCAUCACGACCUAUUCCUGGCUCAGGCUGGCAUUUGGUUUGGACUGGCGAUGGAAAAGUUUUUUUUUUCAACCCAGUAUCUAAAUCAUCUAUUUGGGAACGACCAAAAGAAUUAGAAAGUAACUUACAAAUUGAUGAAAUGUUGCGUGAAGGGCCUGAACAAAAGGAAGAAGUGAAAGUUGAACCAAUAGUAGAAAACAAAGAAUCUUCAGAAAAUCAAAAUGAGGAACCUUCUGUCAAGAAAAUAAAACUAGAACUUGAAGAUAACGUUGAGAAAGUUCAACAGGCUGUUGAAGAGGAGCCUGAAACAAAUGAGGAAGAUGAAGAACAAGCUAAAUUAAAGCUUGAGGCUGAAGUUAAAAAAGCUAUUAUUCCUUUAGAUGAAAGAAUGAUUAUGUUUAGUAAUCUGCUUCGAGAGAAAGAGGUAUCUGCAUUUUCUACAUGGAAUAAAGAACUUCAUAAGAUUUUGUUUGAUCCGAGGUAUUUGCUUUUAAACAUGCGAGAGAGGAAGCUUUGUUUUGAAAAGUAUGUGAAAGUUCGUGCUGUUGAAGAAAGAAAAGAAAGGACACAAAAACUAAAGGAUAAAAAAGAAGAUUUUAAACGUUUACUAGAUGAAGUUGUUGCUAGUGCUAAACUGACUUUUAGUGAUUUUGCAUCAAAACAUUCAAAAGAUGACAGAUAUAAAGGAAUUGAAAAGAUGCGAGACAGAGAGCUGCUGUUUAACGAAUUUAUGAUUGAUUUCCGAAAAUAUGAAAAAGAACGUUUGAAAAUCCGCGAAGAGAAGGUUCGAAUAGGUUUUUUGGAACUUCUUGGAGAGCUAAAUAACUUAGAGGAAAGCUCUCAGUGGAAAAAAGUCAAAUCUUCCAUUGAGCAUGAUAAAAGAUAUCAGCUGGUGGCUAGUUCAACAAAAAGGGAGCAAUGGUUCUAUGAUUAUUUAAAAGAAAUCAGUACAAAGCGAACCCGUCCUGAAAUAGAAAAAAUCGCAGUUGCAGAAGAACCCAUUCCUUCAGUAGUGCAGAAAUCCUCUCCUGUCCAUAAUGCUAUUACAGAAAAAAAUGAUCGCAUUGAAGCUAGCAUACGUAAACGCGAAGCUGAAGUUCGAGCACAUAAAGAAAUAAUUGACAAAGAUAAUGAAAAAGAACGAGGAUUCCAUCUACAUGAAAAAGCUAUGCAGCAUUUCAAAGCUCUUCUUGCUGAUAUGGUAUUGAUUUGUGGGUGUUUUUUUUUCCUGCUGCAAUGUUGGUUCGUGAUACACAUUACUCGUGGAAAGAAACUCGCCGCUCGCUUCGUCGAGAUCCGCGUUGGGCUGCACUUGAUAUACUGGACAAAAGUGAAAAGGAAGGUUUGUUUAACGAACACGUGUUUGGGAUAAAAGAAAAGAGAAAGAAAGCUUUCAGGAAAAUGUUGGAUGAAGCUGACGUAAUUAAGUUCAUACUAAAUUGUUCAAAUACCGUUAGAUGCUCACUGGAGGGAUGUUCGAAAAAAAGUAAAGGACGAUCCUAGAUACGCAAAGUUUGGAACAAGUGAGCUUAGGGAGGAGGAAUUUGAAGCCUAUCUCCGUGAAAGAGUUACAGCAGCACGCACGGACUUUAGAGAACUUCUUCGCGAAACUAAACUAAUUACUUACAAAUCAAAAAAUUUAUGCGAAGAAACCAAUCAUAUGAGAGACAUUCACGAAAUACUGAAAAAAGAUAAGCGAUAUGAUAAUAUGGCAACUUUAGAGAAAGAACGUGAACGCUUGAUUAUUAGCCAUAUAGACGAUCUCCACAAACGAGGGCCGCCACCGCCUCCAACCGCAACAAACCCGUCUGCAAGAUACAAAAAAGAUUGAAUGGGCUAUUCACACAGAAAUAGUGUUUUAAUCAUUAUUUUAUGUAUUAUCUUCAAUGGAAAUAUUCUAAUUCUUAUCA